AAUGAACGCUGGCGGCAGGCCUAACACAUGCAAGUCGAACGGCAGCAGAGUAAGUGCUUGCUCUUACGGGGGGGGAGUGGCGGGAGGGACAGGUAUAUAUCCGAAUUGAUUGUGUCGGGGGGCUUGACGAAGGGAAACCUACGACAACACAGCAGAAGACGUACGAGGGGAAGCAGGGGAAAUUCGGACAUUCAGCGAUAGAAGGUGGCGCUGCCGGGUUAGAGAGUUGGGGGGGUAAAGGCCCACCAAGGCGACGAUCCGUAGCUGGUCUGAGAGGAUGAUCAGCCACACUGGAACUGAGACACGGUCCAGACUCCUACGGGAGGCAGCAGUGGGGAAUAUUGGACAAUGGGCGAAAGCCUGAUCCAGCCAUGCCGCGUGGGUGAAGAAGGUCUUCGGAUUGUAAAGCCCUUUUAUUGGGAAGGAAGAGCAGCAGGUUAAUACCCCGCUGUUCUGACGGUACCCAAAGAAUAAGCACCGGCUAACUUCGUG
rnacentral:rRNA from 1 species